GGGGAAAGCGGCUCAGCAGAGGCAGAGGCUGGAGGCUCAAUCGGGGGAGUCCCUGGGGACAUCAGAGCUGCUGGAGGCACAUGAUGACCGCACAGCCCCAGAAACACGGCCAGGGCAAGAGACAGGCAGGACCAGCAUGCCAGGAACGCUGCCAGCGUGGGCACCACCGCCUGCCCUUUCCUGGGCACAGGCAGCCCACGCUGCGGGCAGAGCUGCCCCUGUUCCCACUGCCCAGCUGUGCUGAGGGGGCUGGCCCCGGGGCAGGCUGCAGUGCUGCACAUCGCUCCUUGCUGAAAGCACAGUGGACCUUUCCCAGGGGUGUGCGUGGGGCCAGGGCACUGCCCAGCAGGGCCAGCAGCAGGGCAGAGGCUCUGCAAAGGCACAGGGUGGCAGGAGGGUUCCUGCGGCACCUCCCCUGGCUCAGUGUCCCUGUGGCUGUUCCCACACUUGGCUGGAGCUCUGGGCUAGCCGGAGCCCUGGCUGAUAUGGAGAUAACCCUGUGCUGGCCAAGGCUGCUCCCAAACCUCAUUCCUGACUGACAGGUGCCACAAGUUUUGGGCACCAUGGGGCUCUUCACCCCACUCCUUCCUACCAAGAACUGGGGGCAGCAGACAGAGGAGCCCAGUACAUUGCAUGAAGUGGUUUCUGCCUCAGUUCCCAGCUGGGUGCACCCUGCCGGGGGGGCUGGUGCCGGAUGCAGGGGCUCAUGCCAGAGAUGCUCCAUCUGCUUCUUGUCAGGCUGCUGGGAGCGCCGUGGUGCCGGGGCCCGGCAGUGGGAAGCAGUUGUGAUAGAUGUUCUGUUUAUCACGUUUCAGCUCUGCUCAGGA